AUUGAACGCUGGCGGAAUGCUUUACACAUGCAAGUCGAACGGCAGCACGGGGGCAACCCUGGUGGCGAGUGGCGAACGGGUGAGUAAUACAUCGGAACGUGCCCAGUCGUGGGGGAUAACGUAGCGAAAGUUACGCUAAUACCGCAUACGAUCUACGGAUGAAAGCGGGGGACCGUAAGGCCUCGCGCGAUUGGAGCGGCCGAUGUCAGAAUUAGGUAGUUGGUGAGGUAAAGGCUCACCAAGCCGACGAUCUGUAGCUGGUCUGAGAGGACGACCAGCCACACUGGGACUGAGACACGGCCCAGACUCCUAUGGGAGGCAGCAGUGGGGAAUUUUGGACAAUGGGCGCAAGCCUGAUCCAGCCAUUCCGCGUGCAGGACGAAGGCCUUCGGGUUGUAAACUGCUGUUGUACGGAACGAAAAGGCUCUGGUUAAUACCUGGGGCUCAUGACGGUACCGUAAGAAUAAGCACCGGCUAACUACGUGCCAGCCGCCGCCGUAA
rnacentral:rRNA from 1 species